rnacentral:lncRNA from 1 species
UUGGCAGGAGCAUGUGACUGGAAUCUUAUGAGCCUGGGAGUAUUGGAAUAUUUGGGAUUCAGUUGAGAGAGAAACUCUCUCUCUGGAACUGAAGAGGAAAGGAGAGAGAAGUGUGGCUGAAUCUGUCAAAAGAUCAAUUCCCAAGACAUUAGCCUGUGAAGAUCCUUUGGCUGUGGUGAGGAUUUAUUCUUCAAUCAUCUGCUGGUCAGGGACUGAGGAGCUGUCUUCAACUUGGAGGAGUUAUUAUCUGUGGAUAUUUCACCUUGGCUUCUUGUUUUGGCUCCCAGAGACUCUAUUAUUUGCCUUAUUGGAGCCUGAAUUUUCCCUGGCACAAAGGACAUAUGAGACAGGAGAGCGACAUGAAUUCAGAUGUGAUUUGAGAGGUAUCCCUCCGAUCUUUUUACCACUAGAGAAGAGACUAGGUCACACUUAGAU